rnacentral:rRNA from 1 species
GACGAACGCUGGCGGCGUGCCUAAUACAUGCAAGUCGAACGCUUCUUUCCUCCCGAGUGCUUGCACUCAAUUGGAAAGAGGAGUGGCGGACGGGUGAGUAACACGUGUGUAACCUACCCAUCAGAGGGGGAUAACACUUGGAAACAGGUGCUAAUACCGCAUAACAGUUUAUGCCGCAUGGCAUAAGAGUGAAAGGCGCUUUCGGGUGUCGUUGAUGGAUGGACCCGCGGUGCAUUAGCUAGUUGGUGAGGUAACGGCUCACCAAGGCCACGAUGCAUAGCCGACCUGAGAGGGUGAUCGGCCACACUGGGACUGAGACACGGCCCAGACUCCUACGGGAGGCAGCAGUAGGGAAUCUUCGGCAAUGGACGAAAGUCUGACCGAGCAACGCCGCGUGAGUGAAGAAGGUUUUCGGAUCGUAAAACUCUGUUGUUAGGGAAGAACAAGGACGUUAGUAACUGAACGUCCCCUGACGGUAUCUAACCAGAAAGCCACGGCUAACUACGUG